AUUGUACCAAAUGGCAGAGGAUAUCUCUGGAUUCCCUAUAAUAGUGAAUAUCAAGUGCUCUUCUGAUUUAUUGGUCACCAACAUCUGUUGCAACUGCAGUUUCCUGAAGCUGUGAAAUUUUAUUUGACUGGAAGAAUUCUGAGGAACAAAUAUCCACGACAGUACUCCAGGCACAGCUGCGAGCUGGGAGAUCAAUAUUCAUGCCAAGCAGGUUCAUUAACUAUGCAACUUUAUUGACCCCAACAACAAAUGAGCUUCCUAUCCCUACUGAACUCAAAUGGUUCAAAAUAACAAGGGGGAAAAUAUCUACCAAAACCGGACAUGUCAACUAACCCACAAGGAAGUGACUUGCACAAUAAAGUGCAUGUUGGAGAUUAUUGUUCCUAAAACACCACCGUUUGUGUAUCGCAGGCAUUGCUGAAAUGUUAAAACUCUAUAAAAUGUAAGCACUCUGUUCCUAUGAGUAACACUGGAGGGGGAAAAAAAG